rnacentral:rRNA from 1 species
AGAGCGAACGCUGGCGGCAGGCCUAACACAUGCAAGUCGAGCGCCCGUAGCAAUACGGGAGCGGCAGACGGGAUAGUAACACGUGGGAACGCGCCCUUCGGUUCGGAAUAACUCAGGGAAACUUGAGCUAAUACCGGAUACGCCCUUACGGGGAAAGAUUUAUUGCCGAAGGAACGGCCCGCGUCCGAUUAGCUAGUUGGUGAGGUAAUGGCUCACCAAGGCGACGAUCGGUAGCUGGUCUGAGAGGAUGACCAGCAUCACUGGGACUGAGACACGGCCCAGACUCCUACGGGAGGCAGCAGUGGGGAAUAUUGGACAAUGGGCGCAAGCCUGAUCCAGCCAUGCCGCGUGGAUGAUGAAGGCCCUAGGGUUGUAAAGUCCUUUUAACGGGGAAGAUAAUGACGGUACCCGUAGAAUAAGCCCGGCUAACUUCGUGCCAGCAGCCGC